rnacentral:SRP_RNA from 1 species
UGAGAGGCUAGACUGGGACGCUCGUCCUGUCCUGUUACCUUCAAUGGACGUCAUGUUGGAGUUGAAGCCUAAGGAGAGGUUUUGUGGUCAUUAUUUGGCCCCGGACCGUACGUUGACGCCUUGUCCGAUUCGACUGGUGAUUUUGGGAACUGUGUCAGAUCAGGAAUGAAGCAGCACUAACCGUUGUUGCUGGUGCUUUUCGGAUAGCAGGGCCGAGGAAAGUCUAGGAUCACCGAGUUUUGGUUGCAUUAUCCAUCUUUAGGCAUGCUUCUCA